AUGACGCAACGAUGUCGAAUUUUGGGCUUCUUUGGAGACGAAUUUCAUAAGGAAAACCUUCGCUUUAGAAGCUGAAACUUCGGUGCGUGACUAAAAUUAGUGUGAGGUUUUUAUUAGCGUUGACAAAAAUAUACGAUUUCUGAAGUGACCUUCUGCUUUAAAAAAGUCUUACAAAAGGGAGGGUCACGGGCACCCCAGGGCCCUCCCCUGGUUACGCUCCUGGAUAGGCAGGGAACAUUGGCACGUCUACUUCUAUGUCCAUUGUCAACGUCGUUUGCAUUAUUUUUAUGUACAUUAUGAGUGCUUUUCAUUUUCUGCAAACAGACAUUCCUAAAAGAUGAAAAGUUAAGAGAGUUUUUCCAGAUAGUUUCAACAAAUAAGGACAGGAAAGGAAAAACGUUCAUAUCAACUAUGGAAGCAAGAAAAUAUCCUAUUUACAUGUUCCAGUGGCAUCCAGCGAAACCUCAGUUUGAGUGGUCGGCGGUGAAAGACAUCAAGCACACUCAGCAUGCCAUUCUUGCUGGACAGUACUUUGCAGACUUUUUCGUCAACCAAGCUCGCUUAAGUUCUCAUCGAUUUCCAAACAGACAGGAAGAGAAAGCAGCAUUGAUUUACAACUACCAUCCAGUUUACACCGGUGAUAUCAUCACAAUGUUGCAGUGUUAUUUCUGGCAAUGAAGUGCUCUUGCGAAGUUGCUGUAUACCAAAACAGGAGAAUGAAGUAAGCAACAUUUUCUAUGGAGGCAGCGUUUGCGAAGAUCGAAUGCGCCCGGUAUUUUCAGUGCAGUGUUUCCAAGCACAGCCUGGCAGUUGUUUUGAUGGCUGGCUUUAACCGGACUCGUAGUUAAAAGAAAUGUUUCUUAUCAGGGGCCAAAAAAACAAACAAAACAACAAAAAAAAGCAGAGCCAUUAUAAAAUGUAAGGUAUUUAAGCGAACAAUAAAUGCACAGAUUUCAGCAGUUCUCUGUUAAACUGAACUAGAUCUUAACUAGAUCUUAUCUGUUCCCGAUUAAAAAAACAAAAAACAUCACACACUCUUUCUUGUAUGACUGAAUUAAUUUUGCCUACGCUGAAUAUUCUCAUUUUGCUACUGGCCUUACCAUAAUUAUAUUCUUACUACAUUUUUAUGUUACAGAUUAUGUCUAUAUGUGUGCAUAUAAAUAAAUAUGUGUUCAUGUAAAUGUAACAAUGCCAGUUACUAAUGACUUAAGGUAUACAAUAUAAACUACUUACUGAGAGUAACCAAAGGUUAGGAAAUGCGGGCUGGACGAUUGCAAAAUGAGGCACACCACAGAAUUUUUACCCUACAGAUGUAUAGCUCUUGCAUCACACACUUGUUAAGAAUUGUUGUUACCAGGCUGAGGAACUUAUUGGGCCCAAGGACAGAUGUUGAAAAUCUGGAAGGAUCACAUUUUUCAGAUGAGUGAAAUUUGAUAUAUCUAAGGUCGAACAAAUAUACCAAAUGUUAUAACAACAAUCAGCAUUCUGGACUGGAUUUGCUUUCUUUUCUGCCCGUGCUUUAAUAAGUUGAACAGUUUCCGCUUAGGUAUUCUAGAUGGUGCUCUGUCUUUCCGAGAUCGAGGUACAAAAUCAAUGCUUGAAUGAGAUGGUUUCGUUGCAGCUACUGCUUCAAAUUUCCAAGAAUCAUAUCUCGAUCUUUGCGAUGCUACUGAUCUUUUAAACUCGUGAUUUGACUCUGCUUGUUCUGGUUUAGUUUCUGGUUUAGUUCCAUGCUUUGAUCUUACACUUAGUGACCAAACUGGGUCAGAGUGGUGCAAAAGUGUGCCAAUCUUAAGAUUUGCUUUCACUCGGGCGAGAUACAGCCCCCUCGUCUCUCCUUCCAAAUCACAAUAAAAUCCCGACAUGUGCACCGCUGUGAUAAUGUUUUGACAGCCAUCACGUGAACACAAUGCCGCUUACACGUGUUGGACCUUUCAAAGAUCACCUGCAACCAGGGAAUUCUGGAUAAUUUUGGAAGAAAAAUUCUAGCCAUAAAUUUUAAACGGACUCCCAGAUAAGGGUUGCGGGCUUUGCUUGAGCCCGCAAUUAACCGAGAGUGAAGCUAGAAGGGAAAUCCCAAACCAAGACCUUGCUGUAUUUAAUAACCGAGCAAUAGCGAGGUCAAUGUGGCUGGGCCGAGGUUUGAAAUUUCCCCGUGAAGAUCUAACGUUCGAAGUUAAAGAGUAGUUGUUUAUAAGGCUUGUAAAAACUAAGAAAAAAAAACCAAUACAAAACAAAAAAGCCAUCGGGUAAUGCGCUCACUUAUCUGAUCAUUCAUCGUUUCCAACCGCAAAAAUCAAGUGAACCAGCGCGCAAAUCAGAAACUUCUGCUUUGAACGUUGAAAUGUUUUCAUGUCAUCGACUGUUUCCCUUGUCGUAUUCUUACUAUUUUGCUCGUUGACGAAAGUUUCAAUUUCUUCUUGGCUGUUUCCAUAGUCUUGUACGGCACCAACUCCUUCGUAAUUUAACGCUGUGAGUUGGCUGUUCUCCUAAGAUUGUAGCUCGUCAGAUUAAUAGGAUUCACUCUCAGAGUGUUCACUCAUAGUUUUUAACCGCUACAACUUUUAGUAAAAAGACAAUAGUUUUUUUAAAGUUCAUUUUGCUUUGAUUUUGCAGGUACGUAAUCGGCCCGUGCUCAUUAUGGGGGAAUAAUGCCCUAGACUUAGCCAACUCCGAGAGUGUGCGUUAUGUCGACUACACAGACAAGCCAUAAGUUAAAUCUUGUUAUUAAUUUCUCAAACUCGGAUAAUGCAAUUUUAGCUUUCUGAUUGGUUCACUGUAUCUCGGUUACCAGCCAUUAUACCAGCGUUUGACCUUAUAUAGAAAUGAAUGCGCCAAAUGUCGCUCGGCAUAAAUUUGUUUGCGUGAAGCCAAGUUUCGUGGACAAAAAAAUGGCUGGAAAAAACAGAUUGGGUGAGCUAUCUACAGUAGAAAUACAAGAAAUUACGGAGAAUGCCGUCCCAGUAAAAACAAAAAAGUCACAAAAUUCGGGAUGGGAUUAUUCAACGUGCAACUUAAAAGCUGCAAAAUUUCAAAUUUCGUCGAAAUUUUACGCUUUCGUGAAGAUUACAACAACAAUUUUUACCUUAAUGUUACUGAAUGGCUUGCUAGUCCUGGUAGCACCAAAUUUUCGAAACCGAUAGAAGAAAUGUCGAAAGAAGAACUGAAUGUUUUUCUGAAGAGUUUUUACACGUCUGCGCGAAAGAAAGAUGGCACGUCAGUUUACAGAAGUUCAUCAAUGAAAUCCAUCUGAGAGCCACCAUUGAUCGUUUCCUUCGCUCGCUGCCGCUCAACAAACCGUUUUCCGUUAUCUCUGACCCCGCUUUUACUCAUGCAAAUAAAGGAUUAGAGCAUUUGUAAAAGAACUCAGGAAGACGAGCAACAUUGCCGGCGCAGUCCAUAAUUAAGAAACCAAUUUCCAAAAAGCAGAUGAAGAAACUGUUCGACAGCGGCGAGUUCGGACCGGCAGAGAGCAAAAAUCCCGCACAGCUACAGAGGACGACCUAGUUUUAAUUUACCUCUGUCUCUUUUCUGGCCGACGAGGACGAGAGAAUCAACGCCAGCUAGCGCCAACAAUUCUGUCCCUGCGAAAAACCCCUCGAUGAGUUGAGUAUUUUGAGCUGAACUGAAGUCGGCCCGGUUCUUUACCAGCCACGCAAAGCCAUCUGGGUGGCCUCGAAGAUUCUGAAGAUGAAUCCGACGGUAAGAUAUUUUCUCUCCUUGACUCUGAAACUGGCUAGCAAUCAGCUCCACACAUCCAGCUCGAAAUUCCAAGGUAGUCACAGCCAGGGAAUGCUGAAAGAGUUCUUGUCGAGAAUAAUUUUGGCACAACGUCUGUGUCACAUGGCGAUAAACGUUUUCCGCAGUAUUUUUACAACUGCAAUGUGCAAGUGCAUAAUUAUUACUCUUCUCAAUGACUCAAACUUGAACUCUUUUCAAACUUUCUGACCAAUGUUGUAUAUCCUUCAUUUGAUAGACGUUCUUUCAAUUAUACAUGAUUGUAAUUUUCCUUCAGCAAACCCGCUUGCUUCGCUUUCAAGUUUUUCAUUUAACUAAGUUUACAAACAAACGGCGCGCAUGUCAUGUAAUCUCCUACUUGUUGUUGUUUCUGCCACAUCAACGUCCGAUUGUUUUGUGAAAUUAAAAUCCAAUUAACUGAAAUUAAGCUAUAAUUUCCAAGUAUAAAAGCGUACCAAAUUUAACAAAACAAUUAUUCCACUCGCGCUUGUUGGAUAUGAGAUUGGCUAUAGCCAACUCGACCCUAUGGGCUUUACUUUUAGCAUCUCAUAUCCAACGCGCGCUCAUGGAAUAAUUGUUAAGACGGGUUCCGCUCAAAGUUCGAGCAAUGAG